CGGCGGCCCGCACGGGGCUCCUUCGGGAAUCCGGAGACAAAGUCGCCCAUCACCCGGUAGCCCGUCCCCACCCAGUCCGCGCCCGCCUGGAGCUGGAGAUCCGCUGUGCCCAGGCGUCAAUGGAGCCACACUUUCCAGGGCGUUUCGAGGCGACUGAAAGCACCCCCCACCCCCGGCCCUCCGCUCCCUGUUUCCCACCGCGACCAAGCCGCAGGCUGCGGUACCCAGAGCCCCCUUUCAGCAUACCCUGGGUCACUGUCUCUUUUCAGCCUACCAGCCGGCUCCGACUCAGAAUGUGGCUGCUGCGAUCCCGCCUCUUCUUUGGCCCCGACCUUCACCAUGGGUUUGCAUUUGAACUUUUUUUUUUUUUUCGGUUCCAUAAACCCGCCUCGCGGCCGAUGCCCGCCUCGCGGCCGAUGCCCGCCUCAACCUGCACACAUCCUGACUUUCACUCUUCAGCUUUGGGGUCAGCAUCACAUUGUCUGGGAGUCUAGGUGGCUUUUCUGGAAGGUUCUAGGCUUUGAGUCAGCUUCUGGUUGUGUUGUGUUUGGUGUUAUUUGUUGGUUUGUUUGGGGGUGGGGGUGUAAAUCAAGGGACAACUUCUCAGAGUCCUGGGGAUUGAACUCAGGUUGUCUUGCUUUGUGGCAAGUGCCUUUAUCCAAUCAACGAUCCAUUUCACAGGUCCCAGUUUGUGAUUUUAAUGUCCGAUUUCCACUGAAAUUCAGCUUAAUGGGGACCAGUCCUGUCUUGCACCAUUCAUGACCUGUGGAAAAAGAUCCGUUGCCUGUGCUGCUCUCCAACUCCUGGAAUCAAGCAAAUUUCCUGGCCCAGAUUCCCUGAGUAGCUGAGAUUUCCGGUGCAGCAUCACAAGAAGCUUAACUAAAGAUAGAUAUACAGCCUUGAGUUGCUAACAGACACAGUGGCACUGUUCAGCUGAAUUAGAAUUUUGGCUUCUCGUCCACCUCUGCUGGCUUUCCAGGAAUGUCUGGACUGGGCUUCACCAUGUGUGGAUCCAGUCGUGUGGGCAGCAGCUAAGCCAACCUUGGACUGCAGAGAGAGACCUUUUCUCGAAAAGGCAGGGUCUGCUUGCUCUUCACCUGAAGACACCGAGACUCAGCAAGACGAGGUAGUUAACCCGAAGGCACAUGGCAACAGGGCAAGGAGACACUGGGACCUGAUGCCAACUGCACCGAUUUCCAGGACUCUUGAAAGUUCCAGAGACCCAGGCCCGCCCUCGUGUGGUGGCUUUAGCUGACAGGCACUUGAAUUGAGGACUCAGAAGAACAUGGGUGAUAUUAAAUGGAGGUUCUAGGUGACAGAGAAGGACAGCCCUAACUAUAUUGUCCCAUGAACAGCGGCUGGUGGGGGCACGGAUUGAUUUUCAUACGUCAGCGGACAUCCUGAAGCUUGGCAGUGUUCCUGGAGUCCAAGAUGGUGGACCUGAAGUCUGCACCGGGAAAGGGAAGCAGGCAGUUCAGCCAUGGGAAGCUCAUCCGUAAGAGAAAGCUCAAUUUGAGCCCCAGUUGACUGCUCAAAUUCUCCAUCGGUUUCUGCUGGGUGUGUCUGAGUCGAUAAUGCUCCCUCUCUGCCGUCAUUGUUGUUUGACUUGGAAACCUGGCCCAAAGGGACACUCGGCUCCCGAGGGGACACCCGGCUCUGCCCAAGGCCCUUUCUAUCGUGAACUCCAGCUGACUGCCUUAACAGGACUUCCCGGCUGAUAUCCACUGGAUGUCUUCCUAUCUAUCGAUUGGUGUAUUUAUCUGUAUACUUAAUAGAUUCGCUCAUUCAGAAUGAAAAGAUGGCGGUUCUAGAACACUUUUUGAAUUGCACAGCACAUAAUGGACAUAAUAAGUAGGCUCUACGAGAUGCCAUUUCUGUUUUGAAGGAGUGACUCUUAAAAAAACGAAAGGUGGCUUACGGGAUGACGGUAAGGCUGCUGGUGAAGGGAGAAAUGAUACCCGUGACCCCCAGCCUCCUACACGUCAGCAGCUGGGUUAACAAGGGGAUCAGUGUGCGUCUGCAAUUCUGCAGUUACUGAGUUGGCAUGUAGAGGUUUGGGGAUCUCUGUGCACUUCCUUUUCUGCUUUUUCUUGUUUACAAAGACUGUUCAUUGAUCAGGAUCACUGAUAUCGUCACAGACACUUGCUAGGAUGUAAAACUUCCUGUGUAUAUCAGACGCUGUGAGACCACAGUGGGGAGACAAGAAAAGGGGGGGAUGCUGUAAAAAUCAGGGGAAAAAAAAAGAAAGAAAAAAGCUUGGUAGCUUAACAAUGUCUAUGGGCAGGUGAUCUUAAUAUGCCACAUUGUGCCAAUUGGAUUCGACUCUUGUUUUAAAAAAUGAAGUAAGAAAGAAGCAGUAGAGGCUGGAGAGACGGCUCAUCAGCUAGAACUGACUUUGAUCCCAGCACCCACAAGGCGGCUCAGAAUCAUCUGUAACUCCACUUCCAAGGGAUCCAGCGCCCUCUUCUGGCCUUCGAGAGCACUGGGCACACACACGGUGUACAGACAACAGACACAGCAUGCAGUUAAAACACCCACACACACCAAAUAAAAAUAAAUAAACCUCAAAAUUAAUGUUAACUAAGAAACAGUGUGUGUGUGUGUGUGUGUGUGUGUGUGUGUGUG